GACAGAGGUGCCGAGCGUUAGGCGGAAUCACUGGGCUUAAAGCGUGUGUAGGCGGAUCGUUAAGUACCUUGUGAAAUCUCCCGGCUCAACUGGGAGGGUGCGCCGAAUACUGAAUGACUAGAGUGCGGGAGAGGAAAGUGGAAUUCCUGGUGUAGCGGUGAAAUGCGCAGAUAUCAGGAAGAACACCAAUGGCGAAAGCAGCUUUCUGGGACGGUACUGACGCUGGAGACGCGAAAGCGUGGGGAGCGAACAGG
rnacentral:rRNA from 1 species